GAUGUCCCAGCAGUUGAGCUAUAAUCAUUUUUGCUUCCCUUUGGUUUCUUUUUGCCAGUAGAUAGUUGUUUUCCCCCAUGAGAUACCUUCAUAUCAUCGUGUAAGUGGGAUGCAUUUUUCUGUUCAAACUACUGUUUUGUAAGAUCCAAUGUUAUAUCUCCACAUUUUCUCAUCUCCUCAGGCAUAUAAUUGUCUUUAAACAAAGCAAGGCUUUUUGGCUAAAUAACUCCUCCUUUGCCCCACUGAAAUUGGCUCUGAAUAUUAUACCCUGUUGUAACUUGCUACCCUGUUGCUUCAACUUUUUACAUUGUAAUGCUCUACUUCUAUAAUUUUGAAGUGUUACAGCAGCGUAUGGAUGCUGUUAAAAUCUAGAGAGUCUAGCAACUGGUUAACCUGUGAUGCAUUUUCUUCUUCUGUAGCAGUCCAAGUGUUUCUUUUUUUCUUUUUUCUUGCUGUGAUUUGAUUGAGCAUGCUUGCAGAGUUUUAGUGCUGCCUUUUAGUCACAGCCAAUCCAACUUACUAGGAUGUGGUGGUUGCUGAUUCGUGUAGAUAUUAUUUCAAAAUAUGCAAUUAUUAGUUUUAGUUGCAAAACUUAUACGCACUUAUUUUCCUUGACAAAAUUCAAAUUUUGCGAUCCUAUUCAUAUUUGUAAUAUCGUAUCAUUUUCUGGAAUAAUCCACCUUUUAUUUUGCUGUGUUAUGCAGGAGAAACCUCAACUAUUUCAGUUUGUUCCAAAUUAAAAGCAGGUCAAGGCAGCACACCAACUUCUCAAGACUAUUCCACAUAGCUAUGGGAGCAGGAGGGUUGAUGGAGUUCCUGUUUUCAGCAAACAAAAUUCAGAUAUUGCAAUAGCUACCAAAGACGGGAUUAAGUGCAAUAUGAAUGGCUUAUUGGAUCACAAUAUAAAUCAAUAGAGUUGGCUAAGUCUGAUUGGGUUGCAACAAGGAAAUCUCCACCUUGGGCCAUUGAUUAUUGGGGCUUUGGUAAGUCAAAUUUGCUCCAUUUUUUGAUGGUUGCUUAAUUAGAUUAUGCUUAAUUUGUCUGCUGGGCAUGCCUAUUGUAAUCUUUUCAAUUAAUUGGAACUCUGUUUUUCAUUGGGAUAAGAUUAUUCAUAUUUAAAUUUAUUGUCCUUGUAGAUCCUAGUUUUGGAGGUUUAUGUGAACAUGAUGCUGGGAUUAUAUUAAAUUAACUUUUCUGGGCA